ensembl:lncRNA
UGCAAUGUGACUUUGCCAUUCUUCCCAUCUAAGGUGGAGUCUGUUUCCCCACGUUUGAUUCAUGGUUGCCAUUGUGACCUGCUUUGAAUAUAGAAGGCCGCAGAACUGAUGCUUUGGGACAUCUGAGUGGAGUCCUCGCUAGGUCUCGCAGCAGCUGCGCUCAUCACCUGAAUGCCACUGCCACCACACGCAGAAGCCUGGGCUGGCCUCCUUGAGGCCUGACUUGAGCUGCUGGAUGAUGGCAGCUGCAUGAGUGAUCCCAGAGGAGACCAGCAGAGGACCUGCCUAGCUGAGCACAGGUCAAAUUACUGACCCACAGAGCAAAUAAAAUGGUCGUUAUUUCAAGUCAUUAAAUUUUGGGGGUGGUGGUUAGACUGCAGUAGAUAACUGAGACACCAAGUUAUUUGUGUCGUUUUCUGUCAUUUUCUUUUAGGUAUACUGCUCAUGAAUAGCACAUAGCAGGAGUUUAAAAAUAUAGAAUCCGAGAGCCUCCAUUACUUAACAGGUGGAUUCAACUCUUUCAUAUUUGUGUGAUUAUUGAUUUGGUGUUUAACAUUUCGAAAAACUGCUCGACUGUUUCCCAAAGUGGCUGCACCAUUUUACAUUCCCAUGAACAGCGUGUGAGGGUUCUGCUUUCUCCGCAGCCUCACCAGCAUUUGCUCUUGUCUCCCUUUUUGGGCCCCAGCACUCUUAGACUCUCAAUCCCAUACUCCCUUCUCCGGGAACUCAGUGGAAACUGUUGAGAAACUGUCGCCAUUUGGACCUGCCGCUACUGACCACUGCUUCCCUUCGCCAGUGCCCCCUUCAAGUAAUCAGCGAAGAAACAAUUUCUGCCCGGGAUCCGAGUGCGGUGUGAGGUCUGAGGAGCCUAACUAAUUGCAACAACAGCAAUAACACCCUCUCUGGUUACCACUUACUGAAUGAUUCUGUGGCCCACUCUGCUAAUCGCCACACGCUUUCUUAUUUAAUCUCCAUUUACAGAUUAGCAAACAGAAACUAAAGCUCAGAGUAUUAACUGGCGCCCCCAAGGGUCUAGAGCUGGUAAGUAGUGGCACCAGAAUAUCAAUACCUUGUGCACGACUGGCAUCAAGGCCUGUGCUUUUCCCACUAAGUUUUUCUUCUUAAAGAAUUCUGCCCCCGUUGAGUCCAGUGGGGUUGCAGUGUAUGGCGGUGUUAGGGGCUAGGGACUGGUCCUAAAGUUAGUAAGGCAAAAGUUGCAUAUAGUUCAAGUCAAAUUAGAAAAUUCUUUAUUUCACUUAUAAAGCAACAAUUCUUAGACAUGAAAGCUUGGGAACCGCUGAGCUAGAACUUGAACAGGUAUUUGUACACCCACGUUCACAGCAGCACUAUUCAUAAGAGCCAAAAGACAUAAGCAACCUAAGUGUCCACUGACUGAUGAAUGAACAAAAUGUGGUAUGUACAUACAAUGGAAUAUCAUUCAACCUUAAAAAGGAACGAGAUUUUGACACAUGCUAUAACACGGAUAAACCUUGAAAACUUUAUGCUAACUUAAAUAAGCCAGACACAAGAGGACAAAUAUUGUAUGAGUCCACUUAUAUGAGGCAGCUAGAAUAGUCAAAUCUGUAGAGACAGAAAGUAGAAUAGUGGUUAUCUGGGUCUGGGGGAGGGGGUUGGGAGUUAGUGUUUAAUGGGUACAGAUUUUCAGUUUGGGGUGAUGAAAAAGUUCUAGAGAUGGGUAGCAGUGAUGGUUGCACAAUAAUGUAAAUGUACCUAAUGCCACUGAAUUGUACACUUAAAAUGGUUAAAGUAGUAAAUUUUAUUUUAUGUAUAUUUUACCACAAUAAAAAACACUUUAAAAAAACUAUACACCAACCUACCUUAUGACCAGCAAUUCCACUCCUGUAUUUACUGUAAAUAAAAACAAAAACACGUGCAAGAAUGCUCUUAGCAGCUUUAUUUAUAAUAGCUCCAAACAAGAAAUAAUCCAAGAUGUCCAUUAAUAGGAGAAUGAUUAAAUCAACUGUGGUGUGUCCAUGCAAAGGAAUAUUAUUGAAGCCACUCAGUCAGUUGUUGGCUGAACAGAGACAUGAUCGAAGGUGACCUGUCUUACUCACACUAAAAUUUUGACCCAAAGAACGCCCUGACUGUCACUGAAACCCGAGUUCCAUGGCUGCCUCUGUUAAGACUCUUCCUUCCUCCUCUUAAAGGGAGACCCCAUCAUUUUCCGUGCUUCGUCUCUAAGACCUGCCAUCCUGUACCUGGUCCAGCAGGUUCAGGUUCAACACUUGCCUUAAGAGACACAGGAACUACCCCACCUUCUCAGCGGGAGGGCUUCGGGCAUUCAGGUGCCCACCACACCUGGGUGCCGGUUUUCACCUCUCCCUCCUGGUCCUAGUUCUGUCCGGUCUUUCCCAGGUUUCAAGUUAAGGCCCUUUGGCCACCAUCAUGCAAGUGAGCCUGACUAGUGCCUCUCUUGAGGGUAACCCAUGAGAGGCACAGUCUAAAUGCCAGGCAUUCUCCAGGGUCUCCUUCUCCAGUGGCAAAUUGAGCACUCGACUCUGUAUAGAGUGGCGGGCAUGGAGAACUCCCAGCUCUACCGCUUACUUAGGUAACCUCAG